CUUUUUUCCUUCCUUCCUCCAUUAAUUCCUUCCUUUCUUCAUUCUUUCCUCCUGGUGUCCCCUUCCUGCAUCUUUUAUUUCCUUUCUUCCUCCAUCCUUCCUUCCUUCUUUCCUCCUGGUGUCCCCUUCAAGCAUCCUUUCUCUUUCUUUCUUUCUUUCUUUCCUUCCUUCCCCUCUUGCUUGUUCUUUUCUUGUGUUCCUCCUUGUGUUCCCUUCCUGCAUCCUUUCUUUCUUGUUUUUCACAUUCCUUCAUUUCUCUCUUUGUUUUUUGUUUUUUUUUGUUUGUUUUUGUUUUGUUUUUCCUUCCUUCUUCCUCCUGGCGUCCCCUUCCUGCAUCCUUUCUUUCUUUAUUUAUUUCCUUCUUUCCUCCUGGUGUCCCCUUCAGGCAUCCUUUCUUUAUUUCUUUCCUUCUUGUUUUGUCUCAUUCCUUCCUCCCUUUCUUCGUUUUUUUUCCUUCCUUCCUUCUUUCCUCCUGGUGUCCCCUUCAUGCAUCCUUUCUCUUUCUUUCUUUCUUUCUUUCUUUCUUUCCUUCCUCUCUUUCUGGUUCUUUUCUUCCUCCUUUCCUCCUCAUGUUCCCUUCCUGCAUCCUUUAUUUCUUGUUUUUCACAUCCUUUCUUUUUCAUGUUUUUUUUCACCCCUUCCUUCCACCUGUUGUCCCCUUCCUGCAUCCUUUCUUUAUUUUUCUUUCUUUCAUCCUCUCUCUCUAUCCCUUUCUUUCUUUCUUUCUUUUUCUUUUCCCCCUUUUCAGGCUGGUCACGUUUGACUGAAAGCAAUUUCGUGGAGCUGGCCUAAUGCUAACAUCACACUCUCUGCCUUAUUGUAGUAGACAAAAGGGCCAGCAGAUCCUCUUCGAAACUCUGAACAUCACAGCAGGGACAGAGUGGAAAUGGAAAUGUUGACCUGUGCUCUUGUAGUUACUUUAAUGGCUUGUGGAAGAGGAAACUGGCUAAGCCAAAAUGAGCUGCUGCAGCACAACAAAUCCUGGUUAAUUGUCCUUCAUCAAGUGGCAGAUGACCAUAUGUAAACUACACAGACUCAGGAUACUGCUUGCAGGUGUGUGUGUCCAGAAUGCAGCAGGGCAGCUGUGUUUAGAUAUUCUUCAAGCACAAAAGGUGCAAAGAUGACGGAGUACAAUUCCAUGUUGUGUUUAAUAUCCAUAUACAUUAAGUGAAUUGUAGCAUGUCUGGUGUGAGCUCACCUGUACUGAGCUCACACCAGAUGCCUGUAGAGCUUGCUGUAU